GUAGGUGAACCUGCGGAAGGAUCAUUAACACUUUAUAUUAUCCAAUAUUAAAAACCAAACGUGAAUUUAUCGAAUCCCUUUUCAUAUACCGGAGACGGUUUAAGAUUAGGCUAACAUUUUUUAAAUCUUUUUUAAACCCCAUUUAAUUUAUAUAUUAUAGCAAUAUAGGAUAUAAAAAAAUUCAACUCUUCGAUUUUAUUAAUUCUAAUUAUAUUUAUUUAUAUGCGAAUCUCUAAAAACGAACUAAACU
rnacentral:misc_RNA from 1 species